rnacentral:rRNA from 1 species
AGAGUUUGAUCCCUGGCUCAGGACGAACGCUGGCGGCGCGCCUAACACAUGCAAGUCGAACGAGCGAGAGAGAGCUUGCUUUCUCAAGCGAGUGGCGAACGGGUGAGUAACGCGUGAGGAACCUGCCUCAAAGAGGGGGACAACAGUUGGAAACGACUGCUAAUACCGCAUAAGCCCACAGCUCGGCAUCGAGCAGAGGGAAAAGGAGCAAUCCGCUUUGAGAUGGCCUCGCGUCCGAUUAGCUAGUUGGUGAGGUAAUGGCCCACCAAGGCGACGAUCGGUAGCCGGACUGAGAGGUUGAACGGCCACAUUGGGACUGAGACACGGCCCGGACUCCUACGGGAGGCAGCAGUGGGGAAUAUUGCACAAUGGGGGAAACCCUGAUGCAGCGACGCCGCGUGGAGGAAGAAGGUCUUCGGAUUGUAAACUCCUGUUGUUGAGGAAGAUAAUGACGGUACCCAACAAGGAAGUGACGGCUAACUACGUGCCAGCAGCCGCGGUAAAACGUAGGUCACAAGCGUUGUCCGGAAUUACUGGGUGUAAAGGGAGCGCAGGCGGGAAGACAAGUUGGAAGUGAAAUCUAUGGGCUCAACCCAUAAACUGCUUUCAAAACUGUUUUUCUUGAGUAGUGCAGAGGUAGGCGGAAUUCCCGGUGUAGCGGUGGAAUGCGUAGAUAUCGGGAGGAACACCAGUGGCGAAGGCGGCCUACUGGGCACCAACUGACGCUGAGGCUCGAAAGUGUGGGUAGCAAACAGGAUUAGAUACCCUGGUAGUCCACACCGUAAACGAUGAUUACUAGGUGUUGGAGGAUUGACCCCUUCAGUGCCGCAGUUAACACAAUAAGUAAUCCACCUGGGGAGUACGACCGCAAGGUUGAAACUCAAAGGAAUUGACGGGGGCCCGCACAAGCAGUGGAGUAUGUGGUUUAAUUCGACGCAACGCGAAGAACCUUACCAAGUCUUGACAUCCCUUGACGAUGCUGGAAACAGUAUUUCUCUUCGGAGCAAGGAGACAGGUGGUGCAUGGUUGUCGUCAGCUCGUGUCGUGAGAUGUUGGGUUAAGUCCCGCAACGAGCGCAACCCUUACUGUCAGUUACUACGCAAGAGGACUCUGGCAGGACUGCCGUUGACAAAACGGAGGAAGGUGGGGAUGACGUCAAAUCAUCAUGCCCUUUAUGACUUGGGCUACACACGUACUACAAUGGCGUUAAACAAAGAGAAGCAAGACCGCGAGGUGGAGCAAAACUCAGAAACAACGUCCCAGUUCGGACUGCAGGCUGCAACUCGCCUGCACGAAGUCGGAAUUGCUAGUAAUCGUGGAUCAGCAUGCCACGGUGAAUACGUUCCCGGGCCUGUACACACCGCCCGUCAAGGGCGAUA